GUCAGCAGCCCAGCCUCUUUCCUUGUGUUUGCCUCAUGUAUUUUUUGACCAGUGUUUGUUAUUUUGUGACUUGAGUUUAGCCUGUUUUAUUUGGAUACCUCUGCCUGGUCUGACUGCUUCUGGAUCCAAACUCAGUUUUUCAGUUUUUACAGCUAUGGCUUCUUUCUAACGUAAGCUGAUGAGGGUCAGAGGUCACAGUCUGUGAUGGCGGAGCAGCUCUGGAGCCGGCACCUCAUUGUUGCUCACAUUCAUCAGGUUGGAAUCCUGCAGACAUGAAAGAUUGAGGCCAGGGUUUUCUGGGCCAAGAGCUCCAAUAGAGAGAGGAAAUGUGGAUAGAGAGAGGGGGAAUGACACGCACCAAAUCAUGCUGGGACCUGGAAUUGAUCUUAAGACCACAGCGACGAGGACUGUAGCCUCUGUACACGGGGUACCUGCUCUACAAACUGAGCUGAACCGGCACCCUGUGUUUAAAUAUGAAAAAAGGAGUUUAGCUACUUUCCUUUCCCAACGCUCCCCUGUACUUGGGUAUGGAAGACCUCAGUAGAUAUGCAUCCAUGCAUUGUAUUUACUGUUUUCCCAUGAAAAGUUUACUUUUUCCCCACAAGAUCUCAACUUGAAAGUGGUUCUCAAACUUUUUCUGCUGAGCUCCCUUUGGUAAAUGAGAAUAUUUCCAAGGCCUCGCUGCACUUGAACACACUCUCAGACACAUCACCUGUUAACAAACUCCUGAAUCUCUAGAAUUAUUUGGAACAUUGUCUGAAAAUGAAACAUACCCCAUCAUUGGUGGAGGUAAACUCAAGGCGAGGUUUGUCUCUUCACACUUCCUUGUCUGUUCCAAUAUUUGUGAUGUUUGAUGUAUUCACUGUCAAACUCAUGUUGACCUGUAAGCUAUUUCACAAAAUGUGCCAUGUCAUGCUUUGUUAGCACUAAAUAACUAUGUGUGUAUUGUUCUUAUUAAACCCCUCACUGCUUCAUAACUAGGGGCAACUGAGGUGUCUAAUUUCCUAGUGAUUUAAACAAAGUGAAAUUCACAUUCUGACUGACCAACUAGUCUAAAGGUAAGAAGGACACUCAGAAAACAGUUUAAUUAAACAUGGGCUCACUGCACCUGUGGGUAAACAAUGUCAAAUUGGUUUUCUGAACGUAGCUAACGUUAGCAGAGCUAACCAGCCUUCAGUCCUCAUUGUAGGCUAACGUCCACAUGCCUGUGCUUGCUUUAUCAGCAUUCUUAGAUCAAAAUACCACAAAAGGCUCUGCACUCAAGAUGCUAUC